rnacentral:misc_RNA from 1 species
AACGCACCUUGCACCCUCUGGUAUUCCGGAGGGUAUGCCCGUCCGAGUGUCUUGUCAACUUCAUCCCCCGGGCGACCGGGGGGUUGGAACUGGGUGUUGCCCCUUACCCGGGCUCGCCUCAAAUGCAUCGGUGGCGUCGCCCCGUGGCCAGUGUGAUAUGUUUCGCCGUCCACGGGUCGCCGCUUCCUUGAACCCGCCCGGCCCUCGCGGCCGGGAUCGUGCGUUGACCUCGGAUCGGGUAGGACUACCCGCUGAACUUAA